rnacentral:rRNA from 1 species
UACGUAGGUGGCAAGCGUUGUCCGGAUUUAUUGGGCGUAAAGGGCGCGUAGGCGGCUUUGCAAGUGACGGGUGAAAUCCCUCGGCUUAACCGAGGAACUGCCUGUCAAACUGCAUGGCUUGAGACCGGGAGAGGUGAGUGGAAUUCCCAGUGUAGCGGUGAAAUGCGUAGAUAUUGGGAGGAACACCAGUGGCGAAGGCGGCUCACUGGACCGGUACUGACGCUGAGGCGCGAAAGCGUGGGGAGCAAACAGG